rnacentral:rRNA from 1 species
AUGUUUUGGAUUGGAGCAGCGACACAAGUAGGGAGAGGCAUGAAAACGAUAAAAUAUUGUGGCCGGCUGCCACCGACCGACUCGAGCUCGCUUCAGCCUCCUCCUACGAUCCUGCAGCUACUACCUCCCCAAGCAAAGUCAACCUACAACAACAAGGAUAUCCCUUUAGCAGCAGAAGCCUCUAAAGAUCACUCUAAUGUGGCUUACAUUGUCACUCCUCUUGGAUUGCAUGAGCUUAUGGUGGAUUACAAGGUGUGGAGGCCGGCUCUCUCGGUUCACUCAAGAGUACCUUUGUUCUGCUGUAGCUCAAAACGUAAGAUGCCAGAGCCACGACGCGAGUGCGUCUGCUUCCCGUUAGGAGAACAUGGUUUGAUGAAAGGAGGGUGA